rfam:Brassica oleracea var. oleracea cultivar TO1000 chromosome C2, whole genome shotgun sequence
GGGGAUGUAGCUCAGAUGGUAGAGCGCUCAGAUGGUAGAGCGCUCGCUUAGCAUGCGAGAGGUACACGGGGAUCGAUACCCCGCAUCUCCA